rnacentral:rRNA from 1 species
AACGAACGCUGGCGGCGUGCUUAACACAUGCAAGUCGAACGAGAAAGCCCGCAAGGGUGAGUAGAGUGGCGCACGGGUGAGUAAUAGAUAGGAACGUACCGAACAGAGGGGGAUAACUGCGGGAAACUGCAGCUAAUACCGCGUACGACGAAAGUUAAAGAGGGCCUAUGCUUGCAUGCUCUCGCUGUUUGAUCGGCCUAUCUCCCAUUAGCUAGUUGGCGGGGUAAUAGCCCACCAAGGCUUCG